rnacentral:rRNA from 1 species
UGGGGAAUAUUGGACAAUGGGGGCAACCCUGAUCCAGCAAUGCCGCGUGUGUGAAGAAGGCCUUCGGGUUGUAAAGCACUUUCAAUUGAGAAGAAAGCUUUAAGGUUAAUACCCUUGAAGUUUGACGGUAUCUUUAGAAGAAGCACCGGCUAACUCCGUGCCAGCAGCCGCGGUAAUACGGAGGGUGCGAGCGUUAAUCGGAAUCACUGGGCGUAAAGCGUGCGUAGGUGGUUUAGUAAGUCAGAUGUGAAAGCCCCGGGCUUAACCUGGGAACUGCAUUUGAUACUGCUUGACUAGAGUUUGGUAGAGGGAAGUGGAAUUCCGAGUGUAGCGGUGAAAUGCGUAGAGAUUCGGAGGAACACCAAUGGCGAAGGCAACUUCCUGGACCAAAACUGACACUGAGGUACGAAAGCGUGGGUAGCAAACAGGAUUAGAUACCCGCGUAGUCC